AAGAUUUUAAGUUAAAACUAAACUAAUAACCUUCAAAGUUAUAAUUACUUAAUAAGUAAAUCUUA
rnacentral:tRNA from 1 species